UCUCAAUGAAGAAACAUUCACACAGCCUUCUUUCUGUCCUAGCCCCAGACUGUAAAAGUAAACACACUGGGGCUUUCAGAAACAGAGAAGAAGAAUUGGUUCUGGAAGGAACUGUCUGAGGGAU